rnacentral:rRNA from 1 species
UACAGGGGGGGCAAGCGUUGUUCGGAAUUACUGGGCGUAAAGCGCACGUAGGCGGCUUUGUAAGUUAGAGGUGAAAGCCCGGGGCUCAACUCCGGAACUGCCUUUAAGACUGCAUCGCUUGAAUCCGGGAGAGGUGAGUGGAAUUCCGAGUGUAGAGGUGAAAUUCGUAGAUAUUCGGAAGAACACCAGUGGCGAAGGCGGCUCACUGGACCGGUAUUGACGCUGAGGUGCGAAAGCGUGGGGAGCAAACAGG